rnacentral:lncRNA from 1 species
ACUGUGCGCUGUCAUCACUUGUGAUUCAGCAAACACCUUUAAAUCUUCUGAUAAAUCCAGAACAACGACAAGCCAAGAUCGAAUGCUACCAUGGAUCGAGCGACUAUACCUACAUGUACUGGUACCAGCACAAGUCAGCAGCAGGAGGCCAGCGGACAAUGGACCUGAUUGGACGGCUUGACUUUGGUGCCCCAACUCUUGAAAAGAGCUUUCAGAGCAAAUUUAACAUAACAGGCCAUGCAACGGCCAAAGCUCAGCUUGAAAUCUCCAAUGUUAAUCCGGCAGACACAGCACAAUACUUCUGUGCUGCGAGUCGGCACAGUGUUUCAACUCCUCUGGCUGCUUUACAAAAACUGGUGGCGAACAGCAUCAAAACCACACCUGCAUGAUUGAUAAAGGAGGAGUGACAGUUCUAAAGUCUGCCUUCACACAAUCUUUCUGUCUUUGCUCAGAUUCUGAUGUCAUUUCCUCCACAGAGAUCUACCUACAGUGUUGGCUCUGCUGAAUUUCCACCCAUUUAAUUUCCUCUUCUAAAGACAAAAUGACUCCUUGCAUCACCACCCUGACUUUCUUGAUUAUCUCAGCAGCAGGUGUUUCUGAAUCCGUUCUGAUCACUCAGUGGCCCCAUUACAUUUCUAACCCUUCCAAUGGCUCGGCAAAGAUGCACUGCUACCAGAAUGACACAGACUAUCAAUAUCUGUACUGGUAUAAACAGCCGAGAGGAAAAAGUUUCCAGCUGAUUGUGGCUACUGUAGCUGGAAUUUCACAGUUCGAAGAGGGAUUCAAAUCUGGUUUUCAGGCAGAGAAAAAUGACAAGCAGUGGUCUCUGACAAUAACCAGUAUUCAGGAGAAAGAUGAGGCUCUUUAUCUCUGCGCUGCAAGGCUACACGGUACUGUGGCAGACCUCAGAAGCAUGACAAAAACAUCUGACUCAAACAUAAGUAAUCAACUCAAGGGGGCGGGGGGAAACCACACUGUGGAGAAGAUAACAGCAAUUUUUACCAUCAAGUUUGUUAAGUAA